UUUUCCCCAUUUCCCCCGUUUUUCCCCAUUUUUUCCCCUUUUUGGGGGGUCUCCCCCUUUUUUCCCCCCAGUUUUGGGGUCCCCCCUCAAUUUGGGGAAUUUCUGGGGGCGGUUCUUUCCUGCCCCCCCCACUGUUUUUGGGACCCCUCCCCCACCCUUAAGCGCCCCCUUUUUGGGGAAGGGGGGUCCCACCCCUUUUUCCUCAUUUUUCCCUUUUUUCCUCAAUUUUCCCACUUUUUUUCCCACUUUUUCCCUCAUUUUCCCACAUUUUCCCCUCCUUUUCCCACUUUUUUCCCAUAUUUUAUCCACUUUUUUUCCUCAUUUUCCCACUUCUUUCCUCAUUUUCCCACUUUUUUCCUCAAUUUCCCCACAUUUUCCCCACUUUUUUCCCCACAUUUUCCCCUUUCUUUCCUCAUUUUCCCACUUUUUUCCCACUUUUUUUUCCUCAUUUUCCCCCUUUCUUUCCUCAUUUUCCCACUUUUUUCCCACUUUUUUCCCCUCAUUUUCCCACAUUUUUCCCACCUUUUUCCUCAUUUUCCCACUUUUUCCCUCAAUUUUCCCACAUUUUUCCCCUCAUUUUCCCAUUUUUUUCUCUAUUUUCCCACUUUUUUCCCUCAUUUUCCCACUUCCCCCCCUUUUUUUCCUCCCCUUCUCCAUUUUCCCUCCAUUCCCUUUUCCUUUCCCCCAUUUUUCUUCCCCAUUUUUCCAUUUCUCCCCAUCUUUCCCUCCCCUUUCCCCCUUUUUUUUUCCUCUUUAUUUUCUCAUUUCCCCCCUCCACUUUUCCCUAUUUCUCCACCAUUUUCCCCCCUUUUUUUCCCCUCUUAUUUCCCAUUUUUCCCCCAUUUUCCCCCCAUUUUUUCCCCAUUUUCCCCCAUUUUCCCCAUUUUUCCCAAAUUUUUCCCCAUUUUUCCCCCAUUUUUCCCCAUUUUCCCCCAUUUUUCCCCCAUUUCCAGGGGGGGUUUCCUCCCUCUGUACAUAGCCGUGAUUUGCACUUGGUUUGGCCCCUUUACCCCCCAAAAACCCCCGAAAAAACCCCAAAACCCCCCCAAAAAAUCCCCUUUAAUUCCCAUUUCUCGGAGGGGGUGGGGAGGGGCGUUCAGGGGGGAUUUUUUUGGGGUAAAAAACCCCAAUUUUUUCCCCGUUUAGAGGCCUAAUUUUAUAUUGUAUUAAAAACCAAAAGGGCCCGGGAGUUCUCCGUGGCAGAGCUGUAAAAGUUGGGAUAUAUAUUAUAUAAAAAUGCAAUAAAAACGACUCAACGAGCCCCA
rnacentral:lncRNA from 1 species